rnacentral:tRNA from 1 species
GCCCCCGUAGCUCAGCAGGAUAGAGCAGCGGUUUCCUAAACCGCGGGCCGCACGUUCAAAUCGUGUCGGGGGCACCA